rnacentral:rRNA from 1 species
CGUGUAGGCGGUAUUGUAAGUCAGAUGUAAAAGGCUACGGCUUAACCGUAGAUUGUCAUUUGAAACUACAGUACUUGAGUGCGAGAGAGGGUAGUGGAAUUCCCAGUGUAGCGGUGAAAUGCGUAGAUAUUGGGAAGAACACCAGUAGCGAAGGCGGCUACCUGGCUCGUAACUGACGCUAAUGCGCGAAAGCGUGGGGAGCGAACAGGAUUAGAUACCCUGGUAGUC